UCCGGUGGCGAUGCGCUUAGGGGAAACACCCGUACACAUCCCGAACACGAUGGUUAAGACCUAAGCGGCCUAUGGUACUAUGCUGGAGACGGCAUGGGAGAGCGGGUGGCUGCCGGAU
rnacentral:rRNA from 2 species